rnacentral:rRNA from 1 species
UACAGAGGUGGCAAGCGUUGUUCGGAAUUACUGGGCGUAAAGGGCGCGUAGGCGGCCAUCUAAGUCAGACGUGAAAUCCCCCCGGCUUAACCUGGGAACUGCGUCUGAUGCUGGAAGGCUUGAGUAUGGGAGAGGGAUGUAGAAUUCCAGGUGUAGCGGUGAAAUGCGUAGAUAUCGAGAGGAACACCUGCGGCGAAGGCGGGUAGCUGGGCCGACACUGACGUGAGGCGCGAAAGCCAGGGGAGCGAACAGG